rnacentral:rRNA from 1 species
UGGAGCAUGUGGUUUAAUUCGAAGCAACGCGCAGAACCUUACCAACCCUUGACAUGUCCGUCGCGGGUCCUGGAGACGGGGCCCAUCGGUUCGGCCGGACGCCACACAGGUGCUGCAUGGCUGUCGUCAGCUCGUGUCGUGAGAUGUUGGGUUAAGUCCCGCAACGAGCGCAACCCUCGCUCCUAGUUGCCAUCAUUCAGUUGGGCACUCUAGGGGGACUGCCGGUGAUAAGCCGGAGGAAGGUGGGGAUGACGUCAAGUCCUCAUGGCCCUUACAGGCUGGGCUACACAUGUGCUACAAUGGCGGUGACAAUGGGAAGCGAAGUCGCGAGGCUAAGCAAAUCUCAAAAAGCCGUCUCAGUUCGGAUUGCACUCUGCAACUCGAGUGCAUGAAGUUGGAAUCGCUAGUAAUCGUAGAGCAGAACGCUA